ACUCAAAGGAAUUGACGGGGACCCGCACAAGCGGUGGAGCGUGUUGUUUAAUUGGAGGCUAAGCCAAGAACCUUACCAAGGCUUGACAUCCUGCGAAGAACACCGAAAGGUGUUUGUGCCUUUGGAACGCAGUGACAGGUGAUGCAUGGCCGUCGUCAGCUCGUGUCGUGAGAUGUUGGGUUAAGUCCCGCAACGAGCGCAACCCUUGUGAUUAGUUGAAUUUUUCUAAUCAGACUGCCCUGGUAACAGGGAGGAAGGAGGGGAUGACGUCAGGUCAGUAUUUCCCUUAUGCCUUGGGCUACAAACGCGCUACAAUGGCCGGUACAAAGGGCAGCCAAGUCGCGAGACGGAGCUAACCCCAUCAAAGCCGGUCCCAGUUCGGAUUGUAGGCUGAAACCCGCCUGCAUGAAGCCGGAAUCGCUAGUAACUGUAGGUCAGCACACUACGGUGAAUACGUUCCCGGGUCUUGUACACACCGCCCGU
rnacentral:rRNA from 1 species